rnacentral:rRNA from 1 species
AUGAACGAUCAACAACCAAAUAAUUUACUCCACGCAUUUCGGGCGCAGUCUGCAGUGGGCUACUACGGAGGUGGCCUAUGUGGGCAGCACGAGGUCCCCUCCGAGUUCCGAUCGUGCGUGCAGCAAGAGGCCCCCGGCCCCGACAGCAGCCUCGCGCUCGCGCCUCCGUCGUCCGCGCCCGCCACCCCCGGCCCCGGCCUCGCCGCGGCCACGCCGUGCGCCGCAGCGGCGGCCAACACAAGGACGAGGAGGAGGAGGAGCUUGCUCGCCGAGCAGCUGGACGGUGUGGCACGGGAAGCCAUGGCAACAGCUCGAUCUCUUGUGGGUUUCACCUUUUGA